AACGUAGGUUCCGAGCGUUAUCCGGAUUUACUGGGCGUAAAGCGCGUUCAGGCGGUUUGGCAAGUCGGGCAUGAAAUCUCUCGGCUCAACCGGGAGAGGUUGUCCGAUACUGUCAGACUGGAGGGCAGUAGAGGGUGGUGGAAUUCCGGGUGUAGUGGUGAAAUGACGUAGAUAUCGGGAGGAACACCAGUGGCGAAGGCGACUUCCUGGCCUGUUCUUGACGCUGAGGCGCGAAAGCUAGGGUAGCAAACGGGG
rnacentral:rRNA from 1 species